rnacentral:rRNA from 1 species
UACGUAGGGUGCGAGCGUUAAUCGGAAUUACUGGGCGUAAAGCGUGCGCAGGCGGUUCGCUGUGUCCGAUGUGAAAGCCCCGGGCUUAACCUGGGAAUGGCAUUGGAAACUGGCGGGCUUGAGUGCGGCAGAGGGAGGUGGAAUUCCGCGUGUAGCAGUGAAAUGCGUAGAGAUGCGGAGGAACACCGAUGGCGAAGGCAGCCCCCUGGGUCGACACUGACGCUCAGGCACGAAAGCGUGGGGAGCAAACAGG